rnacentral:misc_RNA from 1 species
CUUCUUCUUCUUCUUCUUCUUCAGUCAUAGCUGCUGUGCGAUUUCCACCGCCACGUUCCUGUGCUCUCAGCCUCUCCCGCCACCAACAGCCCCUCCUUCUCCGCACUUUCACGGGCCUUUCUCCUCUAAACCCUCUCCUCUCCAUUGGUUUCUCUGGUAAUUUUUCCAUUUCCCUCUUAUUAAAUUCCUUUUUUUCUUUUGUGGAUUUCCAUUUUGUCUUCUCCGCUCUUCAUUAUUGGAUUGUCUCUAUGAGUAGACUGUACCAGUUAUGAAAAUGGGUUCCCUCUGUUGAUAAUGGGUAUCGAUUUUUCGCAAUGAUACAUGGAAGACGAGUUCCAAAACUCAAUCGGCCUCCAGACCAGCGCCGGGCACUUCUCAGAGGCGUCACUACUCAGCUCCUUAAACAUG